rnacentral:rRNA from 1 species
GACAGAGGUGCCGAGCGUUAGGCGGAAUCACUGGGCUUAAAGCGUGUGUAGGCGGAUUGUUAAGUGCCUUGUGAAAUCCCACGGCUCAACCGUGGAACUGCUUGGCAUACUGGCGAUCUUGAGCCACUUAGGGGCUACCGGAACAAAUGGUGGAGCGGUGAAAUGCGUAGAUAUCAUUUGGAACGCCAAUGGUGAAAACAGGUAGCUGGGAGUGUGCUGACGCUGAGACACGAAAGCCAGGGGAGCAAACGGG